CUAGACUCUUCAUUUAUAUAAUAUUAUUUUUGCAUCGAAUAAAUUGUUAAUGAAUUUAUAUGUGAUUUAUGAAUUUUACGAGAUGAUGAUUUAAAUGAAAAAUGGAUAUGUGAACUGGAAUAAUAUUUUUCGGACUAUUGCUAUAUUUACUGUUCUUGCAUCGUAUAUGCAUAUUUAGAUCGGAUUAUGAUACAUGUAUAGUAUUAUAAAAAGAAUUUUGAUGUGCAUCAGAUUUAGAACUCUCAGCCUGACUAUGUUCUGGAUCCUGCCAAUUGGGGGUUAUGCAUUGGCAAUUCUGGCCCCACCACAGGGUAUAAGUGUGGUAUUUUGGCCCACUCCGCAGGGUAUAAGUACGGUAUUCUGGCCCACUCCGCAGGGUAUAAGUGCGGUUCUGUUUCUGGCCUAGCCACAGGGUAUAAGUGUGGUCGUAGCUAAAGGCUGAUGAGAUGAAUGUGAUUUGUUUCGAAUCAGAUUUAUGAUUAUGUAUAUGGAUAUUUGAAAAA
rnacentral:lncRNA from 1 species